GGAAUCGUAGCUCAGUAGGGAGAGCGUUCGGCUGUUAACCGAAAUGUCAUAGGUUCAAGUCCUAUCGAUUCCG
rnacentral:tRNA from 2 species